rnacentral:rRNA from 1 species
UAAUACGGAGGAUCCAAGCGUUAUCCGGAAUCAUUGGGUUUAAAGGGUCCGUAGGCGGUUUUAUAAGUCAGUGGUGAAAUCCGGUAGCUCAACUAUCGAACUGCCAUUGAUACUGUAGAACUUGAAUUAUUGUGAAGUAACUAGAAUAUGUAGUGUAGCGGUGAAAUGCUUAGAUAUUACAUGGAAUACCAAUUGCGAAGGCAGGUUACUAACAAUACAUUGACGCUGAUGGACGAAAGCGUGGGGAGCGAACAGGAUUAGAUACCCUGGUAGUCCACGCCGUAAACGAUGGAUACUAGCUGUUCGGCAGCAAUGCUGAGUGGCUAAGCGAAAGUGAUAAGUAUCCCACCUGGGGAGUACGAACGCAAGUUUG